AUGUCACGGACAAGAAUUAACGUUGUUGAAUCUAAUGAAGAAUAUAUGAUGGAAGAACAGAUCGAACAUCAUAAUUCUGCUGCAAAAGAUGUCGAAUCAUCCGAUGUCCAUGAAAGAACUACUAAUGAUGAAGAAGGCUUCACAGAUUGUGAUGACGCUAGAGUGGAUGAAAACGAAGAUGAUCAGCCAAUUGGAAAAGAGGCUAAACAUCUUGGGGAUUUUCUUGGCUCAGUUGCAAGGAAUGGAUCAUUGUGUUGCUUGAGCUACAAGGACUGGAGAAUGCUAAAAACUAAAACAAAUGUAAAGGCUAUACUAGAUCAAGUGAAGAUGAGGUUCCUUUACCCUCCUCACAUGGAAAAAUAUAUAUUGAAGGUAAUUGGAGAUAGAUGGAGGCAACAUAAGUCCGAUCUGAAAGCAAUGUAUUUUGAAGAGAAAAAAGCACCGAAGCCAAUUACAAUAAUAAACCAAAAUCCGUGA
rnacentral:rRNA from 1 species